rnacentral:rRNA from 1 species
UACAGAGGGUGCGAGCGUUAAUCGGAAUUACUGGGCGUAAAGGGCGCGUAGGCGGUUAUGUAAGUUAGAUGUGAAAUCCCCGGGCUUAACCUGGGAAUGGCAUUUAAUACUGUAUGACUAGAGUAGAGUAGAGGGAAGUGGAAUUUCCGGUGUAGCGGUGAAAUGCGUAGAUAUCGGAAAGAACACCAGUGGCGAAGGCGGCUUCCUGGACUCAUACUGACGUUGAGGCGCGAAAGCGUGGGUAGCAAACAGGAUUAGAAACCCGGGUAGU